AUAUUACUAGUAUAAUUUAUUAUAUUACUUUUCCAAAGUAAUGAUCUAUUAAUUUAGGUAAUGUA
rnacentral:tRNA from 1 species